CCUACGGGUGGCUGCAGUGAGGAAUAUUGGUCAAUGGGCGGAAGCCUGAACCAGCCAAGUAGCGUGCAGGAUGACGGCCCUACGGGUUGUAAACUGCUUUUAUACGGGAAUAACGCGCCUUACGUGUAGGGCUUUGCAUGUACCGUAUGAAUAAGGACGGGCUAAUUCCGUGCCGGACGCCGCGGUAAUACGGAAGGUCCGGGCGUUAUCCGGAUUUAUUGGGUGUAAGGGGAGGGUAGGCCGGAGGUCAAGCUUGCUGUGAAAUGUCCGGGAUAAACCCGGGAGGUGCAGGGGGAACUGGGGUGAUUGGGGAUGGGGAAGGCAGGUGGAAGUCGUGGUGUAGGGGUAAAAU
rnacentral:rRNA from 1 species